rnacentral:rRNA from 1 species
AGUGAACGCUGGCGGUAGGCCUAACACAUGCAAGUCGAACGGCAGCACAGUAAGAGCUUGCUCUUACGGGUGGCGAGUGGCGGACGGGUGAGGAAUACAUCGGAAUCUACUUUUUCGUGGGGGAUAACGUAGGGAAACUUACGCUAAUACCGCAUACGACCUACGGGUGAAAGCAGGGGAUCUUCGGACCUUGCGCGAUUGAAUGAGCCGAUGUCGGAUUAGCUAGUUGGCGGGGUAAAGGCCCACCAAGGCGACGAUCCGUAGCUGGUCUGAGAGGAUGAUCAGCCACACUGGAACUGAGACGCGGUCCAGACUCCUACGGGAGGCAGCAGUGGGGAAUAUUGGACAAUGGGCGCAAGCCUGAUCCAGCCAUACCGCGUGGGUGAAGAAGGCCUUCGGGUUGUAAAGCCCUUUUGUUGGGAAAGAAAAGCAGCACGUUAAUACCCCGCUGUUCUGACGGUACCCAAAGAAUAAGCACCGGCUAACUUCGUG